rnacentral:rRNA from 1 species
UGACGAAGGCCUUCGGGUCGUAAAGCUCUGUUGUUAGGGAAGAACAAGUACCGUUCGAAUAGGGCGGUACCUUGACGGUACCUAACCAGAAAGCCACGGCUAACUACGUGCCAGCAGCCGCGGUAAUACGUAGGUGGCAAGCGUUGUCCGGAAUUAUUGGGCGUAAAGCGCGCGCAGGCGGUCUUUUAAGUCUGAUGUGAAAGCCCACGGCUCAACCGUGGAGGGUCAUUGGAAACUGGAGGACUUGAGUGCAGAAGAGGAGAGUGGAAUUCCACGUGUAGCGGUGAAAUGCGUAGAUAUGUGGAGGAACACCAGUGGCGAAGGCGGCUCUCUGGUCUGUAACUGACGCUGAGGCGCGAAAGCGUGGGGAGCAAACAGGAUUAGAUACCCUGGUAGUCCACGCCGUAAACGAUGAGUGCUAGGUGUUGGGGGGUUCCACCCUCAGUGCUGAAGUUAACACAUUAAGCACUCCGCCUGGGGAGUACGACCGCAAGGUUGAAACUCAAAGGAAUUGACGGGGGCCCGCACAAGCAGUGGAGCAUGUGGUUUAAUUCGAAGCAACGCGAAGAACCUUACCAGGUCUUGACAUCCUCUGACAAUCCUGGAGACAGGACGUUCCCCUUCGGGGGACAGAGUGACAGGUGGUGCAUGGUUGUCGUCAGCUCGUGUCGUGAGAUGUUGGGUUAAGUCCCGCAACGAGCGCAACCCUUGAUCUUAGUUGCCAGCAUUUAGUUGGGCACUCUAAGGUGACUGCCGGUGACAAACCGGAGGAAGG